GACGAACGCUGGCGGCGUGCUUAACACAUGCAAGUCGAACGGAAAGGCCCUGCUUUUGUGGGGUGCUCGAGUGGCGAACGGGUGAGUAACACGUGAGUAACCUGCCCUUGACUUUGGGAUAACUUCAGGAAACUGGGGCUAAUACCGGAUAUGAGAUCCUGCUGCAUGGUGGGGGAUGGAAAGAUACGGCGGUUGGGGACGGACUCGCGGCUCAUCAGCUUGUUGGCGGGGUAGUGGGUUACAGAGGCUUUGACGGGUAGCCGGCCUGAGAGGGUGACCGGCCACAUUGGGCCUGGGGUGCGGCCCAGACUCCUACGGGAGGCAGCAGUGAGGAAUAUUGCACGAUGGGCGGAAGCCUGAUGCAGCAACGCCGCGUGCGGGAUGACGGCCUUCGGGUUGUAAACCGCUUUCGCCUGUGACGAAGCGUGAGUGACGGUAAUGGGUAAAGAAGCACCGGCUAACUACGUG
rnacentral:rRNA from 1 species